rnacentral:rRNA from 1 species
UACGAAGGGGGCUAGCGUUGUUCGGAUUUACUGGGCGUAAAGCGCACGUAGGCGGUUUGUUAAGUCAGAGGUGAAAUCCCGGAGCUCAACUCCGGAACUGCCUUUGAUACUGGCAAGCUAGAGUCCGGAAGAGGUAAGUGGAACUCCUAGUGUAGAGGUGGGAUUCGUAGAUAUUAGGAAGAACACCAGUGGCGAAGGCGGCUUACUGGUCCGGAACUGACGCUGAGGUGCGAAAGCGUGGGGAGCAAACAGG